CUGAACUACAGUGCUUUAGGUAUAGAAUGACACCUCUGAGGUCAGGAAUCACUCUUGUUUAAUUGGGGUUGCGAUCAGUGACAAGGUCAACAUCAGCACAGGUUUGGGGACACCUCUUUGGGAGUGGUAGGAGGUGAUGAUGCUUAUGGAAGUGAAACUGAGGUAGAGGGAUGAGUGGAUGGAAAAGCUCCUCUGGAACAGCACGAAUGCCCACAUGGUGUUCAUCUUUCCCCAUAAGCCACCAAGGACAGAAGCUCUACUGCUCUACCACUCUGCUGCCUGUGGUGACCCUGCUCUGCCUUUCUGUGGUUUGCAGUAGGGAUGGGUCGAGAUGUACCACUGAAAGCGCUGUCAGCUGUUCAAAGUCGCUGCUGAUUUUUGGAGAACAGAAAGAGCUGUGGGAAGUUAGCUAUCUGGCAGUCGAAACUGAAUUUUCUAGGUGCACAGUCUGCUUUUCUUCCAGUGGACACAUCAUGAUUAAGGAUUCACUUAGGAGUUCUUCGAAGGGUCCCAGUGUGUCUCAGGCCCUCAGUGCAAACUCUCAGCAAAUUGGACCUUGGCGUGAGCAGAACAUGUAUUCACAUUCGGAUCACAGCUGCCAAGACACACAAAUUCUCUGUGUGAUCGCUUGGAUUUCUGGUCUCUCUCUCAUUGGGGAGGAAAUGUCAUGAUCACAUGGAGACUUAGCAUGAGAGGCCACUGUAAAAAACAAAUAAAA